CCUACGGGAGGCAGCAGUAGGGAAUAUUGCUCAAUGGGGGAAACCCUGAAGCAGCAACGCCGCGUGAACGAUGAAGGUUUUCGGAUUGUAAACUCCUUUUGUUAGAGAAGAUAAUGACGGUAUCUAACGAAUAAGCACCGGCUAACUACGUGCCAGCAGCCGCGGUAAUACGGAGGGUGCAAGCGUUACUCGGAAUCACUGGGCGUAAAGAGCGCGUAGGCGGGAUAGCAAGUCAGAUGUGAAAGCCUAUGGCUUAACCAUAGUACUGCUUUUGAAACUGGUAUUCUAGAGUAUGGGAGAGGUAGGUGGAAUUCUUGGUGUAGGGGUGAAAUCCGUAGAGAUCAAGAGGAAUACUCAUUGCGAAGGCGACCUGCUGGAACAUAACUGACGCUGAUGCGCGAAAGCGUGGGGAGCAAACAGGAUUAGAUACCCCUGUAGUC
rnacentral:rRNA from 1 species